UCUUAGGCCGACUGAAUAAAAAACCCAUAAGAUCCGAAAUGCCCUGGUACCUAACCGAAACUGCCCGUUAUAAAGAAGACCGCGAGUUGGCGCACAUACGCACAGCCGCCGAGGAGGAAGAAGGUGCCGUGCUUCUAGGUGCUGCCGCCUGCAGCAUAUUAGAUUUAGAGGCACUUUCUUCACCUUCGUCAGUCGACUUUUCUGUAAAGUAUUCUAAAUUAUUCGUGACUUCCAUCAAUUGUUUUACCUUAAACACCAUGGCAUGAGAAUAAGCCUGACAUUUCGUUUCCACAUUACAAGCUUAAGGAGUCAACGCUCCGUGCUUUAAUAGUGCAAGAUAAGCAGCUGCAGGAUAAGGAAAUUCUUUGAUGGCGCUUCGUUUCGAGGUUCUUGGGCGAUUUAAUCGUGCUCGUGCAGCUCAGUUGACACUUCCUCACUUUGGGUGCCAAACGCCUCUUUUUAUGCCUGUGGGCACACAAGGUUAGAGUAUGUGUCUAUUGUGUUUCUUCUCAUCUGUUAGAACCUAGUAUUUUUCUAACCGUGCUUGUUCUUUUGAUUCUAGAUG